rnacentral:miRNA from 1 species
AACAACCUCAUUGACAGGAAGGAGUCCCUUCCAAUCAAUGAGAUGUAACAACCUCAUUGAUUGGAAGGAAUUUCUUCUGGUUGAUGAGGUUGUU